rnacentral:rRNA from 1 species
GUCCACGCUGUAAACGAUGGGCACUAGGUGUCGCGGGUAUUGACCCCUGCGGUGCCGCAGCUAACGCAUUAAGUGCCCCGCCUGGGGACUACGGCCGCAAGGUUAAAACUCAAAGGAAUUGACGGGGGCCCCGCACAAGCGGUGGAGCAUGUGGUUCAAUUCGACGCAACGCGAAGAACCUUACCCGGGCUAGACAACAGAGGGCCGUCUUAGAAAUAAGGCUUUCCCUUCGGGGACCUCUGGUUCAGGUGCUGCAUGGCUGUCGU